UACGGAGGAUCCAAGCGUUAUCCGGAUUUAUUGGGUUUAAAGGGUGCGUAGGCGGCCUAUUAAGUCAGGGGUGAAAGACGGUAGCUUAACUAUCGCAGUGCCUUUGAUACUGAUGGGCUUGAAUGUACUUGAGGUAGGCGGAAUGUGACAAGUAGCGGUGAAAUGCAUAGAUAUGCCACAGAACACCAAUUGCGAAGGCAGCUUACUAAAAGUAUGAUUGACGCUGAGGCACGAAAGCGUGGGGAUCAAACAGG
rnacentral:rRNA from 1 species